GCAGCCAGCGGAGGCUGCACAGCUGGGGCGGCAUGGGGGUGAGGGCAGUGGCUCUCUGCCACCCCCUCCUGCUCCCUAGUGCUGUGGUUCUGCUGCUGAUAGAUAGCAUCUUAGGUCAAGCAAGUGGGUAAAUAUAGCCAGGCUCCCAGCUCGGCUGUCAUCGGGGCUGUCAGCAACACUGUCCCAGGUUUUUGGACUUAGUUUCAGGCUUCAGCUUGACAGCCAACCUCAGUUAUGGGAUGGGGCUUUUGUUUUCUAGAGGAAUCCCACCUCCUCUCCACUCCAGUUUUAGGCUCAGGGAUAGACUCCACAGAGUGCCUGGAAGGCAGAUGGGGAGUGGAGUGGUGAUGAAGAGAGUGCUGGUUUCUGAGACUGGCAGGUGGCUGAGUCCUGAAGAUCAAAGUCUCUGACUCCCUUGCCUCACGAGCCUCAGGGUCACCCUGCGGCCACUGGGAGCUGUCCGGCCCAUCAGCAGGGCCAGCAUUGUCAUUGUCUUACCACCAGCAGCAUGGGAUCUUGGGCAGCCACUGAAACUCUCUGGGCCACCGGCGGCCUCAUCUGCAGGAAGGAGUAGUGGUAGCUUCACGCUGGCCGUUAUAGUACAUAAAGGGAAGUGAGGCCAUGCCCACUCUGGGUGAACUGCAGAGCCCCAUGCUGGUGGAAUCUGUGUGUGUCGAGCCUGACACAAGGCAUGCACUUUAUGAUCAGCCCUGCCAUGCGGAGAUCCGGUUCAGUGCAGCCAAAUAUGCUGAGAUCUCUAUGUUCUCGGAGCUCGCGGCUCAGAAAAAUGCUGUGCAGUUCUUGCUUCUUCGAGUUGCUGAGAGUUAUCUAUGAAGAGCGCUGAGGAUGGUGCUAUGGGUGUUCAUCUGGCUUCCACCAUGAAUUCAAGUGUCCUGAGGCUCCACCAGAAGCCGAGCAGAUGCUGGUGCCACGCUUCCUGUAAAGCUGCAGGACCAUGAGCCAAUUAAACCUCUUUUUUUUGUAAAUCAUUUAGUCUCAGGGGGUUGUCCUGAACUGCAGUGGGGCUUACUGCAUUGGACCAGAGAACACAGAGGCCGGAUUCUGGAUCCAAGUGCUACUGUAUGAGUGCAUGCUGGGAAAUCCUUGAAAGGAGAUGCAAUCCGGUCUCUGGCUCUCCCCUUUCUCUCCACAUGGGUCUGCAAAGACCCUCCAAACUGAGGUGCAGAAAGGAGCGCAGGAAAAUAAGAGAGAGAGAGAGAACCAAGAAGUAAAACAACAGAAACUCCCUCUAAAGGCAUCUUUCGAUUCCACAAGAGGUGGCUGAGAAGCUGAGAAGUGGUUAAAGCUGCAAAUAGCUUUGAGGGCUAGAACUCAGAACCCUCCAAGGAAGAGGAACCCUGGAAACCCUUCCAGCUUUGGGUGAGGAGGCAGAAGGACUAAGCCCCAGAAUGGUCAACCAGAAGCAAACUGGUUCUUGCAAAGUAUGAAAUCAGCUUUAAUUCAUUGUAAUCUCUGAAACUGGAUUUAGGGGUUGCAGUUUUGCUAGGGAAACCUAGCAUAAAAGACUGUCAAAAACAACAUGAAUCCAUUUGAAGGAAGAUAACAUUGUCCCAGGGUUAAAAUAAUUUUAUAAUUUUUUAUUUAUAAUGCCAGAGAUUCAUUAAAAAAUGAUGACCAGGCAUAGAGAAGACACAGAAUUUUCUAUGGUGUGUUUGAGAACACACAAACACACAUACACACAACAUAACACACAAAAAAGAAGAGAAACAAUGGACAAUAAAAGCAGAUCCAUAGCUGAUUCAGGAAAUAGGGCUACCAUAAUAUAUACUUUGGAAGAACUAUGCUUACUUUGUUCAAGGAAAUAAAAGAUAAAAUUGUGAACAUUGAUGGAGAAUUGGAAGGCAUAAAAAAGGAUUAAGAAAAUCAUUUUAGUGAUAAGUUUCCAUCAAGUGAAAAUUCUAGAGUACCAAAAGGAGAGGACAGAAUCAAACACAAACAAUAUUUUAGGAGACAAUGGCUGAGAAUUUUCUUUAACUAACAACAACAACAAGAAAACAAACUCAAGUUACACAUUUAAGAAGUCCUGAAAACUCCAAGCAGGAUAAAUCAAAAGAAAAAUUAUACUUAGGCACUUCAGAGUAAAAUUGGUGAAAAUGAAAGACAAAGAAAGAGAUUAAAGGUAGACAGAAAAAGAAGAAAAAUAAUCUACUGAGGAGCAAAAGCAAGACAGGGUGCCAGAGAUAUAUUUUGGUGGUGGUAAUGGGGCUUAAACUUCAGUGUUCUUCACUUACAUGGGAACUUCUCGGGCACUUGCUUACAUGGUCAAAGCUAUUAUAAAAUUUGCUAGCAAGAACUUUUAACUCUUAACUGUUAAGACCAUUCCUUUUCCAUUCCAAGUUUCCCUUCAUGUACGAAUCAGUGUGAUGGGUGGUGUUAGAGGAGUUCUAGGUGUUUUGGAAUCAGGCAGAGGUGAAGGUGAGCUGGGGAUUUAUUUAGUUUUGGUUCAAUGGGAUAUAAUUGUGUGGUUCGUGGUUACUUUUACAUAUAUCAUCAUGGUUUAGAAACGGUUCUCAGCACUACCCAGAGGUAUAAGGUCGAAGGUUGCAUCUAAGUCUGCAUGUGCCUUGUAGUGGUUGGCAGUGGAAGUAUGUGGAUAGUAGAGAAAAACAAGCAAAAGAACAAACACACACAAGAUUUGGUACAUACAGAAGCAGAAUCUACUCAAUAAAAAAUUCUUCCACAUCUUAUAUCUAAUAUAUGAGAGAAACUUGGUAAGGGUUUCCCCAGUUUUGGAAACAAUCAAACUUUUUUCUACGUUGCCAGUAAGACUGGCACUAAAGAAACUUCUAUAAACAAGCACUAACAAAAAAUUAAUUCCAGAAGAACAGUAACAAAAUAAAAUAAAAUAAUAAAUAAAAAAAAAAA